CUGAUAUUCUUAAUAAUUUCAUUUACGUACACGCGUUAUGCGUGUACCUAUAUAAUUGAUCGAAACGUCCAAGUGAAUGGCACCGAUGAGACAGGUGAGUAUUUUUUUUUUUGUUACUUAUGUCAAACGAAUUUGUUUGUAACGCCCUUUCGUAUUUUCUGUAAAAUAUUUAGAAACGUGCGUCACAGGUAAUUGCACUGUUCAUUGAAUCCAGAACAAAAGGCGUUGUCCCGAUCACAUGGAUUUAUCAAUCAACCGAUAAUAUUGGUAAAAUAACGUUAUUCGCAAAGUGGCCACCGAAAUCGGAUACUAAUGUUACCAGUGAAACUAUUUAUAAUGCAACACUUCCGUCAGAAUAUUGAGCGUCUUAUAAAAUACGCCUUUUGGAGAACAGCACAGAAUAAUGUAAGUACCAAUAACUGAUUACAACGUAGGUUCUGUAUGUAUAUAUUAUGCACCUAGGUAUUAAUUUUUAAAAAAAAAGGGCUGAUAUUGAAGAUUUGUGUACCACUAUUGUUACUGGUAAAUUGGUAAGGUUAUGUGAUGCAUAAUAUUCUCUAACUUAUAUCUCUAGGAAUAUAACCAUAAACCAUUACUAACAAAAAAAAAAUAUUUGGAGUGAUAACUUUAACUUCAGUGAUAAUAAUGUUUGGAAAUUUGUAAAUUGUAAUUUUUUUUUUUAAAUUGUACUUUAAAACAUUUUUGAAAAAACUACACCAUUUUUUUUUACUACUAAGUACAACUUAUAAUGAAUCCUGUGUUCAAUUUGCAAGCAUUUCUGGUUUGUCAAACAAUUUUAUUCAUAUGAUAGGUACAUACCAAUAGGUACCUAUAUAUUUUCUCAUUAUUAUAAUUAUUCAAACAAAAUUGUUUUUAUUAUCUUAUGAGUUUUAUUUUUUAUUUAGAUAACUUCAAUAAAGCAUGACAUACAAAAGUUGAAUAUGUUAAUUCCACCACUGAAAGUGAAGAAAUAUCUAAAAGUUUGAGAAAAUAAAAUGUAUACUGGACUCCGAAAGUGAUGUUGAAG